UUACUAUGCAGCCAGGAUUAAAAACCACAGAUGUCACUGAUGAUGAUGAUGAUGAUGAUGAUGAUGAUGAUGGUGAUGGUGAUGAAGAUGGCAAUGAUUGCAGAAUUUGGGGAAGAGGAAGCCUGAAGGAGUCCGCAAAACAAUGUCCUUCAAAUCAGAGUUUAUUCAAUGCUGAUUUUUCAUUUUUCUAUGGUUCUACCUGGGGACAAGUCAGUCAAAUAAUUUGAACCUCAGCGUCCUCAUCUGCAGAAUGGGAAUAAUAACAGUUUGUAAAGUUAUCGUGAAGAUGACACAAAAUGCUGGAGACAUUGGAUGUGCUCUAUAGAAAAUAAUUUCUAAACAGUAAAGAAUAUUAUAAUAAAUAUUAAACUUUC